AGUAGCACUUCAUUUGACAAGCUGCUGCUCCACUGUGUAAAGGCAAAAUCAAGUGUUUUCUCAUCUUUGGAGGCCUCCUCCUCAUUGCUCCACCUCCAAACACCAAAAGAUCACAUUGAGUGUAUUCAUGGAUGUUGCCAGUUUUUCGGGGAGAGACUCUGACCCUGCCCUCCUGUGAGAGACUCUAAGAAAGAAGCAAGGAUGCCGCCCUCUCCCGGCUGGCCCCGAGGAGCCGUUUGGAGACGGGAGGCCCUCUGACUGUGCUCGCUCACCUCUCCCUCUCUUCAUUUUACGCCCCCGCUGCCUCUCCCUCUCUGUCCUGCCUUUUGACCGUAGUCCCUUAUUGCCUCUCACUCUGGCUCUAUAACAGAACCUAGCAUCCAAAGAUGGUUACUUUGAGAUAUUAGUCUGCUAUCUUCUCGGUCGGCUGGCUUCCCAAAUAAAGUCAUAUUCUUUGCCUCAA